CUCAGUUUAGGUUGUUAUUUGUACAGUUACUUCGAUGACCUAUGUUUAUUUUUAGGUUUUUUAUGAUUUGGAUGAGCCGUCCAAAAACCGAAGCAAUUCCUAUGAAAGGGGUUAUCAUAAAUAAGGAAUAUCCACGCAAUUGCUUUAUAAGAAUCUAAUCCAACACUCAGUUUAUAGAUUGUGGUUAAGGACAUUUGAAUUAAACCAAAGGUGUUUAAGAAGACUAGAGGUGAUAAUCUAAUGCAGUUCAAACUACAAGUUGAAGCAAGUUAGAUAUAUCUGGAGUCUGAGAGGACAGACCAAAAUAUGAGCAGGCCUAAAACUCAAGGUUUGAUUAAGUACAGCUGGAGGAAAAACCAACAAGAGAGCAAUUGUUAACUCUACCGGUAGUAACGUAAACUCACAACUAAAUUAAGCAGACAACCAACGAAGGGAUUGUGCAAGAAGAAUUAGAUAUAAUGAAUGAGGAAUUUAUUUCACCGGAUGAAAACAACAACCAAGCGUUAGUUGAGGAUGUGAAGCAUGAGUUAGUCAACAUUCGGUUGAAGGCGGCAAAAUUAGAACACCAGAUAAAUUUCCUUAGGAUGAGGGUAAAAAACGAAAAACAGAGUCACGACUUGAUAUUGAAAAUCAUGCUCAAUGAAUUCAAUAUACAAUCUUCAAUAAAUAUACAAUAAAAUUUUGAAACAUAUGAGUUUGGAUUAUUCAAAAUUAUUAUAUAUGAAGAAACAAGAAAAGGAAUUAUGGGAGCAAGGUCACGUAGCCCAGGACACUUAAAUGACAUGCAAAUAAAAAAUGAAUGAACGAA